GAUGAACGCUGGCGGCGUGCCUAAUACAUGCAAGUCGAGCGAACGGACGAUAAGCUUGCUUCUCUGAUGUUUGCGGCGGACGGGUAAGUAACACGUGUAUAACCUACCUAUAAGACUGAGAUAACUUCGGGAAACCGGAUCUAAUAGCGUAUAAGAUUUUGAACCACAUUGUUCAAAAGUGAAAGACGGUCUUGCUGGCACGUAUAGAUGGAUCCGCGCUUCAUUAGCUAGUUGGUAAGGUAAUGGCUUACCAAGGCAACGAGGCAUAGCCGACCUGAUAGACGGAUAGGCCACACUGGAACUUAGACACGGUCCAGACUACUACGAGAGGCAGCAGUAGGCAAUGUUCCGCAAUGGGCGAAAGCAUGACGCAGCAACGCCGAGCGUGUGAUGACGGCCCUGCGAUCGUAAAACUCUGUUAUUAGGGGAGAACAUCUGUGUAAGUAAAUGUGCAGAUAUUGACGGUAACUAGUCAGAAAGCAACGGCUAACUACGUG
rnacentral:rRNA from 1 species